UCUGGCAGUCUCUGAUUGUCCGAGUUGUAAUUUAGAGAAGUGUUACCCGCGUUGGACCGUGUACAAGUCUCCUGGAAUGGAGCGUCAUAGAGGGUGAGAAUCCCGUCUUUGACACGGACUAACAAGGCUUUGUGGUGCGCUCUCGAAGAGUCGUGUUGUUUGGGAAUGCAGCACUAAAUGGGUGGUAAAUUCCAUCUAAAGCUAAAUAUUGGCGAGAGACCGAUAGCGAACAAGUACCGUGAGGGAAAGAUGAAAAGAACUUUGGAAAGAGAGUUAAACAGUACGUGAAAUUGCUGAAAGGGAAACGCUUGAAGUCAGUCGCGUUGUCUAGGGAUCAACCUUGCUUUUGUGGGGUGUACUUCCUAGUUAACGGGUCAACAUCAGUUUUGACUGCUGGAAAAAGGCUAGAGAAAUGUGACAACCCCGGUUGUGUUAUAGUCUCUGGUCAUAUACAGUGGUUGGGACUGAGGAACUCAGCACGCCGCAAGGCCGGGUUUUUAACCACGUUCGUGCUUAGGAUGUUGGCAUAAUGGCU
rnacentral:rRNA from 1 species